GACGAACGCUGGCGGCGUGCUUAACACAUGCAAGUCGAACGAUGAAGCUGGAGCUUGCUCCGGUGGAUUAGUGGCGAACGGGUGAGUAACACGUGAGAAAUCUGCCCUUCACUCUGGGAUAACUGCGGGAAACUGUAGCUAAUACCGGAUACUUUCCCUGGUGGGCAUCCACUAGGGAAGAAAGAAUUUCGGUGAAGGAUGAUCCCGCGGCCUAUCAGCUAGUUGGUGAGGUAAUGGCUCACCAAGGCGACGACGGGUAGCCGGCCUGAGAGGGUGACCGGCCACACUGGGACUGAGACACGGCCCAGACUCCUACGGGAGGCAGCAGUGGGGAAUAUUGCACAAUGGGCGAAAGCCUGAUGCAGCAACGCCGCGUGAGGGAUGAAGGCCUUCGGGUUGUAAACCUCUUUUAGCAGGGAAGAAGCGAAAGUGACGGUACCUGCAGAAAAAGCACCGGCUAACUACGUGCCAGCCGCCGCCGUAA
rnacentral:rRNA from 1 species